UACAGAGGGGGCAAGCGUUGUUCGGAAUUACUGGGCGUAAAGGGCGCGUAGGCGGCCUUCUAAGUCGAACGUGAAAUCCCCGGGCUCAACCCGGGAACUGCGUCCGAGACUGGAAGGCUUGAAUCCGGGAGAGGGAUGUGGAAUUCCAGGUGUAGCGGUGAAAUGUGUAGAUAUCUGGAGGAACAUCGGUGGCGAAGGCGGCAUCCUGGACCGGUAUUGACGCUGAGGCGCGAAAGCCAGGGGAGCAAACGGG
rnacentral:rRNA from 1 species